GACGAACGCUGGCGGCGUGCCUAAUNNAUGCAAGUAGAACGCUGAAGGAGGAGCUUGCUUCUCUGGAUGAGUUGCGAACGGGUGAGUAACGCGUAGGUAACCUGCCUGGUAGCGGGGGAUAACUAUUGGAAACGAUAGCUAAUACCGCAUAAGAGUGGAUGUUGCAUGACAUUUGCUUAAAAGGUGCACUUGCAUCACUACCAGAUGGACCUGCGUUGUAUUAGCUAGUUGGUGGGGUAAGGGCUCACCAAGGCGACGAUACAUAGCCGACCUGAGAGGGUGAUCGGCCACACUGGGACUGAGACACGGCCCAGACUCCUACGGGAGGCAGCAGUAGGGAAUCUUCGGCAAUGGACGGAAGUCUGACCGAGCAACGCCGCGUGAGUGAAGAAGGUUUUCGGAUCGUAAAGCUCUGUUGUAAGAGAAGAACGAGUGUGAGAGUGGAAAGUUCACACUGUGACGGUAUCUUACCAGAAAGGGACGGCUAACUACGUGCCAGCAGCCGCGGUAAUACGUAGGUCCCGAGCGUUGUCCGGAUUUAUUGGGCGUAAAGCGAGCGCAGGCGGUUAGAUAAGUCUGAAGUUAAAGGCUGUGGCUUAACCAUAGUAGGCUUUGGAAACUGUUUAACUUGAGUGCAAGAGGGGAGGGUGGAAUUCCAUGUGUAGCGGUGAAAUGCGUAGAUAUAUGGAGGAACACCGGUGGCGAAAGCGGCUCUCUGGCUUGUAACUGACGCUGAGGCUCGAAAGCGUGGGGAGCAAACAGG
rnacentral:rRNA from 1 species